rnacentral:lncRNA from 10 species
UCAAGGGAUUCUCAUGCCUCAGCCUCCUGCGUAGCUGGGAUUACAGGUGUGCGCCACCAUGCCUGGCUGGUUUUUUGUAUUUUUAGUAGAGACAGGGUUUCCUCAUGUUGGCCAGGCUGGUCUCAAACUCCUUGGCUUCAAGUGAUUCACCUGCCUCAGACUCCCAAAGUGCUGGGAUUACAGGUGUGAGCCACGGCGCCCAGCCUGUUGUUCUCAUCUUGUGUACAAGUGUUGCCAUCAUUUUGCUCCCACUUAUAAGUGAGAACAUGUGGUAUUUGGUUUUCUGUUCCUGAUUUAGUUUGCUAAGGAUAAUGGCCUCCAUCUCCAUUCAUGUCCCUGCAAAGGACAUGAUCUCAUUCUUUUUUAUGGCUGCACCAACAACCUUUUUAUGGAGCUUAAGAAACUGAUACUAAACUUCAUACAGAAAGGCAAACAUACAAGAAUAGCCAGGAAAAUACUAAGAAAAGAAAAAAGUCACAAGGGGGACUUGGCCUACCAGACAUGAAAACAUACCAUAAAGCCUUUACAACAGUAGAGUAUGGUAAUAUGGAUAGACCAGUAGAAAAGAAAGUCCAGAAGUAGGACCAAGUACAUAUGGAACUUUAGUAUGUAAUAAAGAUGGUGUCUCAAAACACCUGGGCCAAAAGGAUUUUUAAAAUAAAUGGUACUGGAACAAUUAGGUACUUAGAAGAAAAAGGUAAAAGGAGAUCCAUACCUCAUACCAUCGACAAGAACAAAUUCCAAGUGGAUCAAGAAUCGAUCAAAAAAAAAAAAAAAGAAUCGAUCGAUCUACCUACCUACCUACCUAUCUAUUUAUGUAUCUAUCUAUCACCAUACACAUACUAUUUUUAAAAUGAGUAAAUUUCUCUUUAAUCUGGGGUAGGGGAAAGCAUUCUAACUAUAACUCAAAAUUAAAUAAAAUGAAAUAAAAGAUUGAUAAACUUGACUACAUAAAAGUAAAACCUUUUGCAUAGGAAGAAACACCAUGAACAAUGUAAAAAGACAAUUAAAACCUGGGAGAAAAUAUUUGUAACACGUAUCUCAGAUAAAAACCUUACAUCCAUAAUAUUUAAAUAACCAUAAAAGUUGAGAAGAAAAAUAGAUCAAAACUCUUCAAUAGAAGAAUGGGCAAAAGACAUGAACAGAGAAUGUAUCCCCAACAACAACAAAAAAGAUGAUCUUUAAACACAUGAAAAAAAAGUUCGUUUUCACUCAUAAUGAGAGAAUUACAAAUUAAAACUACACUGAGAUACAAUUUCUCACUUAUCAGAUUGGCAAAAAGUAAAAAGCGUAAUCACAGAGUUUGUUGGCAGGCUGUUGGGAAACAGGCACUCAUACAGUGCUGGUGGAAUGCAAGCUGGUAUAAUCUCUAUGGAGAAUUUCACAAUAAAUAUUUAACACACAUACACACGCACAGUGCACAUGUAUUAUUUUUUGACCUAGCAACCUUACUCCUAGGAAUUUACCCUGAAGAUAAACCUCCAACAAUACAUACAUACUAGGUUAUUCAUAGCAUCAUUUUUGUAAAAUUACAAUAUAUUGGAAGUCACUGACAUGCCCAUAUAUAUGGCAUAUGAGUAUUAUGCAGCUGUUUAAAAAAGGAGAAAGAUUUCUAUGAACUGAUACAAGAUCUCUUGUUAAAGGAAGAAAACAAAGUGGAAAAGAGUAUUGGCAAUAUGCUACCAUUUUUGUAGGAAAGGAGGAAAUAUGCAUGUAUAUGUUCAUUUGUGUAAAAAGAAACAGGAAAGGCCGGGUGCAGUGGCUCAUGCCUGUAAUCCCAGCACUUUGGGAGGCCGAGGUGGGCGGAUCACGAGGUCAGGACAUCGAGACCAUCCUGGCUAAGUCGGUGAAACCCCGUCUCUGCUAAAAAUACAAAAAAAAUGAGCCGGGUGUGGUAGCGGGUGCCUGUGGUCCCAGCUACUCGGGAGGCUGAGGCAGGAGAAUGGUGUGAACCCGGGAUGCGGAGCUUGUAGUGAGCCGAGAUCGCGCCACUGUGCUCCAGUCCGGCCGACAGACCGAGACUCCGUCUCAAAAAAAAAAAAAAAGAAAAAGAAAAAAAGAAACACAGGAAAGAGAAACCAGAAGUUAAUACAAUUGUUUACCCUCAGGGAUUGGGUGGAAAUGAACUGGACAGAAUAGAAGGAAUGGGGAGGGGAUGGAAUUCCUCUGACUAUACAUUCUGUGUUUUGCAAUCUUGUUAAUAUUUUACUUAACAACAAAAAGAAAAACAACUAGGAUGGCGGCGGGUUGGGGGGGGGGCGGUGGUGGUGGGAAAUAAAGUAGAAAAAACAGAAGCGGCCUGGCCUGGUGGCUCACGCCUGUAAUCCCAGCACUUUGGGAGGUCGAGGCAGGAGGAUCACGAGGUCAGGAGUUCGAGACCAGCCUGGCCAAUAUGGUGAAAUCCCAUCUCUACUAAAAAUACAAAAAUUAGCUGGGCUUGGUGGCGCACACCUGUAGUCCCAGCUACUUGGGAGGCUGAGACAGAAUUGCUUGAACCUGGGAGGCGGAGGUUGCAGUGAGCCAAGAUUGUGCCACUGCACUCCAGCCUGGGCAACAGAGUGAGACUCUGCCUCAAAAAAAAAAAAAAAAAAAGAAAAGAAAAAGAAAAGAAACAGCAGAAGCAAAUGAAUCAAUCCAAUUUUAAGUGUGUAAGAUUGAAUAAGUAAAUAUAUUGUAGAUAAUGGGAGCCAGGUUUCUCACUAUUGAAGGCAAGAGUUACAAAUAUGAAAAGUGGGAAGGAGAAUCUUACAGUGUUUCACUGGAAUCAGAAGUAUCAGUGUGGGCUGGGAGUGGUGGCUCACGCAGCACUUUGGGAGGCCAAGGUGGGCGGAUCACCUGAGGUCAGGAGUUUGAGACCAGCCUGGCCAACGUGGUUCAGAGUGACAGAGCCAGACUGAGCAAGACUCCAUCAUAAAACAAACAAAGGAAAAAAAAAAAAGAAUCCAUUUGUCCACAGUGAUACAAUACAUGGGAUGAAGGGAAAGCUCUUACAGUAGAAAGUCAACUAAUAAAUAUAAAAGAAAUGAUUAAAUCAGAAUCACCGCUUGUCAACCCUAAUAAUAAUCCAAGCAAGACUCAACACUAGAUACUAAAACUCGUGGUUGAAAUUUUGAUGGGUAACAGAGCAUCUACAUAGUUUCAAAGUAUCUCCCCAAGAGAUACUUAGUAAUUUUACAAUGAAGAAACCUGAUACAUACUGACACACUGUCUUAACCAAGGGAGCAAAGUUAACAUCACCAAUAAUGGGACCAAUCAACAAGUGCUUCCAGACACAAUGCACAUUAUCUGACCACAAUUAUAACCUCUGUGGCAUUCCUGCAAGACAAUACAGCACAUAAAUCUAAUCAUACGAAAACAUCAAACUCAUAUUCAAUGGCAUUCUACCAAAUAAAUAGCCCGUAGUAAUCAACAUCAAUGUCAUG